rnacentral:rRNA from 1 species
UAAUACGUAGGGGGCAAGCGUUGUCCGGAUUUAUUGGGCGUAAAGAGCGUGUAGGCGGCCGCACAGGUCCGUUGUGAAAACUGGAGGCUUAACCUUCAGACGUCGAUGGAAACCGUGCGGCUAGAGUCCGGAAGAGGAGAGUGGAAUUCCUGGUGUAGCGGUGAAAUGCGCAGAUAUCAGGAAGAACACCCGUGGCGAAGGCGGCUCUCUGGGACGGU